GAUGAAGAACGUAGCGAAAUGCGAUAAGUAAUGUGAAUCGCAGAAUUCAGUGAAUCAUCGAAUCUUUGAACGCAUCUUGCGCUCCUUGGUAUUCUGAGGAGCAUGCCUGUUUGAGUGUCAUUAAAUUCUCAACUACACUGACUUUGAAUUGGUGUGGCUUGGAUUUGGGGGGGAAAAUUGUUGUGGGCUUUUUGUAUAGUCUGCUCCCCUGAAAUUGAUUAGCGGUACCUUUGUGGAACUGUCUACAGGUGUGAUAAUUAUCUACAUCCUAGACAUCUGCUGGGAUGCUGCUUUCUAAACCUUACUUGUAUUGACAAUCUUGACCUCAAAUCAGGUAGGACUACCCGCUGAACUUAAGCAUAUCAAUAAGCGGAGGA
rnacentral:misc_RNA from 1 species